rnacentral:rRNA from 1 species
AGAGUUUGAUCAUGGCUCAGGAUGAACGCUGGCGGCGUGCCUAACACAUGCAAGUCGAACGGACUUACAUUGAAGCCUAGCGAUAUGUAAGUUAGUGGCGGACGGGUGAGUAACGCGUGGGUAACCUGCCUUGUACUGGGGGACAACAGUUGGAAACGACUGCUAAUACCGCAUAAGCGCACAGCUUCGCAUGAAGCAGUGUGAAAAACUCCGGUGGUACAAGAUGGACCCGCGUCUGAUUAGCUGGUUGGUGAGGUAACGGCCCACCAAGGCGACGAUCUGUAGCCGGCCUGAGAGGGUGAACGGCCACAUUGGGACUGAGACACGGCCCAAACUCCUACGGGAGGCAGCAGUGGGGAAUAUUGCACAAUGGGGGAAACCCUGAUGCAGCAACGCCGCGUGAGUGAAGAAGUAUUUCGGUAUGUAAAGCUCUAUCAGCAGGAAAGAAAAUGACGGUACCUGACUAAGAAGCCACGGCUAACUACGUGCCAGCAGCCGCGGUAAAACGUAGGUCACAAGCGUUGUCCGGAAUUACUGGGUGUAAAGGGAGCGCAGGCGGGAAGACAAGUUGGAAGUGAAAUCCAUGGGCUUAACCCAUGAACUGCUUUCAAAACUGUUUUUCUUGAGUAGUGCAGAGGUAGGCGGAAUUCCCGGUGUAGCGGUGGAAUGCGUAGAUAUCGGGAGGAACACCAGUGGCGAAGGCGGCCUACUGGGCACCAACUGACGCUGAGGCUCGAAAGUGUGGGUAGCAAACAGGAUUAGAUACCCUGGUAGUCCACACCGUAAACGAUGAUUACUAGGUGUUGGAGGAUUGACCCCUUCAGUGCCGCAGUUAACACAAUAAGUAAUCCACCUGGGGAGUACGACCGCAAGGUUGAAACUCAAAGGAAUUGACGGGGGCCCGCACAAGCAGUGGAGUAUGUGGUUUAAUUCGACGCAACGCGAAGAACCUUACCAAGUCUUGACAUCCUGUGACAGACGUAGAAAUACGUUCUUCCUUCGGGACACAGAGACAGGUGGUGCAUGGUUGUCGUCAGCUCGUGUCGUGAGAUGUUGGGUUAAGUCCCGCAACGAGCGCAACCCUUAUGGUCAGUUACUACGCAAGAGGACUCUGGCCAGACUGCCGUUGACAAAACGGAGGAAGGUGGGGAUGACGUCAAAUCAUCAUGCCCUUUAUGACUUGGGCUACACACGUACUACAAUGGCGUUAAACAAAGAGAAGCAAGACCGCGAGGUGGAGCAAAACUCAGAAACAACGUCCCAGUUCGGACUGCAGGCUGCAACUCGCCUGCACGAAGUCGGAAUUGCUAGUAAUCGUGGAUCAGCAUGCCACGGUGAAUACGUUCCCGGGCCUUGUACACACCGCCCGUCACACCAUGAGAGCCGGGGGGACCCGAAGUCGGUAGUCUAACCGCAAGGAGGACGCCGCCGAAGGUAAAACUGGUGAUUGGGGUGAAGUCGUAACAAGGU